UGAUGCACAAUGCCCUAUGGUCCACUUCAGUGGAAGUCCAAAUUUACCUAUGCUGCUGUUCUAUGUCACUAGGUAAUUUUUUAAGUAGACAUAAAGUAAAGGGGAAAAUGAGGGUAUUAUGAAGGGAAAGCUCUUUGUUACAAUAGCCAGCAAAGGGUUUACCCUGUUAAUUAAAAAAGGGCGGGGGGUGAGCUACCUGUUUUCUCAGUCAAGACAGUGAAGCUGCACAGCUAUGUAUGCUCUGAGAAGGAAGCAACAGUAUCAGCAUGCGAGAUAAAUGUAAAAGGUGCUUCAGUGUCACAGAUUGUCAUGGCUUUCUGUUUCUGCUGGGUAUGUUGCUCUGGCAGUCUGGAGCUUGUCUCUCAUACCAAUUUUGUAUCGGGAAGAUGGGGAAUACUAUGCUAAGCUGAAUGUGUAUAACUUGUGAGUUAGGAUAGCUUGUACUGAAGAGCUUGAUUUUCCUUUUUCUUUGACAAUGGCACAGUAUAUGCAUAGUACUGUAUUGCUUCAUCUUAUGUGCUUGCAAAGCAGUGCAUCUGUUCUUUUCAGAAUAUGCAUGUUUAUCAUGCUAUCAGCCAUUUAGAAUAUUUCAGAUUCAUUUUACCAGGAACCUAAUCCACUUACUGAGCUUUAAUUAUUUUUUAGAAUAAUUAAAAGCUUUAUUUGAAUGAAGAAGAUUCAGUGUCUGUUACUUGAAAAUAACUGUUUGGCUGUGUUUCUGCUCACUCUCAUGAUUUCCUUUCUCAGCAUUAGCUGCCAGGUUAUGUUCAGGUCUAAGAGUAAUUGCUGUUAAUUAAAGUGUUUCAUGACACUUUUAGGGUAGAGUGACUGGAAUGAUCUUUCAUUUCCUGUGGGGAUAGAAUUUUGAAGAAACAGUCCAGCAGUGGAUAUGUAUUCUUAAAAAUCACUCUAUAUAAUCUUUUUGUAAAUAGUGAUGGUAAAUGGAGUAAUCAGUAACACUACCAUAUGAUCUUGCUGGCUGGUUUUAGGGGUCAUUUUCAAAAACAUAGCAAGCAGAUUUAUUUGGGAGUUUAGCUACAACUUUGUCACUUGCAUCUUCAUUUUAGUUGCGAAGAAUGUGGCUCGCUGCAUUCUCUUCACUAAGUCUGAGUGGCCAAGAAAGAGAAAACACUAUGUACUGGCUGUUAACAGAAGCUGGAGAGACUGUUAAGUUAUUUGGGGGAGUUCAGCCUUGCAGUUUGUUGUUGGGGGGGUGUGUGUCUAACAUUAGAUUUUUGCAUCAUAUUGAAAUGCAGACUGAAUAUUUGGCAGUUUGUCAUUGUGGUUUCCUUUUAAGAAGCAUACGUUUAAUUUUCAGUCACUGAAGUAAUUUCCCCGUUUGGAGGUGAUGUCUCUGGUCUCUGUCCGCAUUGUAACUCUGUCCAGACAUCAAUUCUAGCCUGAUCUCGAGUUUGACAGUCAUAUCUAUGGUGAUGCUGUACCUGACCUGUUAACUGAUUUUAAUAGUAGGGGCUUGCUUAUAAAGGAUAGUAGGCUGUGGUCUGUAAUACCUGUUUUUAAUAAGAAAGUAUUCAUCCAGCGGAAAGUCUGUAUUAUGGAAUAGAUAAUAGAAUUUUUGAAGUUGGGUACUUCCAACUUUGCAAAGUUCAGUAGUUGGUGAAGCAAGCUACCCCAUGGAAAAACAAACAAAAGUGUGGAAGGGAAGUAAAAGGGAGAAUUGAUGAACUUAUUGCAACUUUUAAUAGGACUCGGUCAUUAAAUUGAAUUGCGCCAACUCUGAAAUCAUAUUUAGUCUGAGCUGCUAGCUUCAGACAUUCUUCAGCGGUAUCUUAUAAGGUGAAUGUUGCCCUUGUUUUAAAGUGUGGAAUAAUUUGCACGUGUCACUUCUGAGUUGCUUUUUGAGGCUGUUUGUUAAGUGAAGCUAGCCUAAUAGGUGCAACUCGUGUAUGGCUUUCCAAAGUAAUUCUUGCAAUAACAGAUACCUUGCAAGAUAUGCCAGCAGUUUCUGAACUUCGAGCUGGACCUCAGGAUGCUGGUAAAUGUUUUAUCAAAGAGCAUACAGAGCUGCUCUUGUGCUGCUGUUGUGAUCAGAGGCUCUCCAGUCAGUCUUCGACGUCUUUAGGGUUCCUUAGCUAUGCAGCAUGUUUCUGUUUCCCCAGCCUGAGUCAUGGGUUGGGUUAAACCUAUCAAACAUUGCAGUACUUGCAUAUUAUUUUAAGUUUGAGGUUACUAUUACAAUAUUAAAAUGCAGAUGAAGACAGGCUUGUGCAGAAUCCUUCUGCUGCCUUAUGAGUACAUAAAGGAAAGAUCCUAAACCAAGUUUUAGUAUAAGGUUUUAAUGAAAGCUACUGGUGGCUGUACGGCCUUGAAAACGGAAGAUAACUUUCUGCUAUACCACGAGAUUGUGUGCAAAAAUUUGUUCUUCAAGUCAGAAUUAAAAGAACCGUCUGGGGUGAGAAUAUAUGUUUUUAGUCAUAGAACAUAUACAGCAGCUGGGAUUUUUGUGAUGAAACCUGUGUCCUGGGUACUAGAUUAGCAAUCCAUUUGAGUUUGUUUGCCUUAUUUGUCUGUGCAACAUCUGUGUUUUUUCCUUCAUUGUUCUCUAUGCCCUUGGACACUCAAGUAAUCCUAUUAUCCACUAAAACUGUAAUUAAAUCUGUGGCGCCUAGCUGAACAGCAGAGGGGGAUGAAUUCAUAAGUCUCACUUAAGCUGUAUUUUUUUUUUUUUUUGGACAGUUUUAGUAGUCCUGCAGACCUGAGCAAAUAGGGCCAAAGAAUUAUUUGGGAAAUGUAAAAUGAUGGGAGAGUAAUCAUCAGCAUGGAGACUUAUCAGUACCGAUCUGUUUACCUGGUUUGCUCCCCCCACCAACCACCCUAGAUUGAAAAAGAAGCACUGGGAAAAUCUCAUGAUAUUCAAGAUACCUUUUCCUCUCUGAGGAGGAGACAAGUUACAUUUACAACAACGGUGGUGAUAUCCAGGGUUAAGCAAAGUCAAGCAUUUUAUAACAAAACUGAUGUGAGACAACUUUGAUGUCUAACUUAGGUUUUGACUCCUGCUACAGUCUAGACUGUACUAGUAGGUUGCUUUAAUUUUCAGGUCUUCAGUACUGGUUUCUGGGAAAUGGCAUUGUUAAAAGGAUUUAAAUUAGUACAUGCUACAACUGGAGUCAUGGUAAAUGAUGCAUUAAAAUACUGUUUCUAGGUUAAAUUUUUUUUGAUUAAUAAACAUUAUUGGAGGUACGUAAGAAAAUAUUUUAAAGCACUAAUAUAUAACAAAAGAAGAGAAAGUACAGUGCUUCUUGUAUUUAAACAAAAAAACAAUACUCUGGAUUUUGUUUAAGCUGCAGUACCAAGUUUAAAAUGGAACAGUAAUAGUAGUUACUCAGUGAAUUUAGAAGAACUCUGAGAUGAUGUUAACCAACUGGGACAUUAAAGCUGCAGUGAGAUUUCACUCUCUAUGCAGUUAAGUUUCAUACUUGCAUGUUAUGAUAAAAAUGAUGCUUUUUGUCUUAAUGUGGCCAAAGAAAAGACGAACAAUGAAAAACAAUGAAAUGAAAAUUAAUUUUGAUGCAUAAGAUUUUAACACUGUACUGUAACAUAUCACCAGUGUAACUAUAUAUUUUUUAGGGUUUCUGUUUCUAAUAAAACUAUUUCAAAUUAA